UACAGUGCUUCAGUGUAGACGCGAGGAAGCUUGUCCUAAACUCCGCCCUCCCCUUCCCGUGACUGGAGUUUAGUGUAGUUCGGGGAGGGAGGGAGGGGGGCAGUAAACAACAAAGCAUGGCUCCAUUUCCCUUCUACACUGCUGCCUAACCUGGCCUGGAUUUCGUGCAUCUGAUGAACUACAAAGAAACGGAAAACCAACAACCGUCACUACCAACUUUCCACACGGUUCAGGUCGGCGCACCUAUCAUAAUACUACACCUUGCGAACAGAUCUCCCCACAGGACCGCUAUAACACGGCUUCAAAAUAAACCACUCGGGUGUGGUUUUUAUUAAAACCUACAGGAAGUCAAUAAACAUAUGCAAGUAGAAGAGGAAAAAGACAGUCACUAAGUAGAAAGCAACAGACCAAGACAUAAAUAGCUGAAGCACCUGCAAAUUAAUUGGUCAGCAUGCUCUUACACCUUAUACUGAUGCUGCCUAUUGUCAAAGCAGAAUCCAAUUUUGAAGAUAAAACAAACAAUCUACAUGUUGUUUUACUGUCAUUGUUCUUCAUAUUGCUUUGCCUUGCUUUCAUAAUUGCAUGGAGAAAGCUUAUUCGCAUGGAAGGGGGACAAGAAUACCAUCCUCACAAACUUUGGGGUAGGACACAGGAUAUGAUACAGGAAGUGAUAAGCCAUUUUGGACGUGAUGCAGAAGGGAGCAUAGCUGAGCAUGAGGACCAAGAUGAAGAAGAGGAGGAUACAGAAAGAGGGAAUGAAGAUCGUCAUAUUACUGCACUGUGAGAUAAGGAAUGGAUCAAUUAAAAUGAAAGUUUUUUUUGCUAAUGCUAGCAGUGAAUUUUUCAGUAGAAUAAUGCUUAUUGUGCUUCUUAUUGUGCUUCACUUGUCCAUCACAAUAUUUUCAAGGAAACAUAUUAAAAAAUUGGAAAUAAUAAA